rnacentral:rRNA from 1 species
UGGGGAAUAUUGCACAAUGGGCGCAAGCCUGAUGCAGCCAUGCCGCGUGUGUGAAGAAGGCCUUCGGGUUGUAAAGCACUUUCAGCGAGGAGGAAGGGUAGUGUGUUAAUAGCACAUUGCAUUGACGUUACUCGCAGAAGAAGCACCGGCUAACUCCGUGCCAGCAGCCGCGGUAAUAGGGAGGGUGCAAGCGUUAAUCGGAAUUACUGGGCGUAAAGCGCACGCAGGCGGUUUGUUAAGUCAGAUGUGAAAUCCCCGCGCUUAACGUGGGAACUGCAUUUGAAACUGGCAAGCUAGAGUCUUGUAGAGGGGGGUAGAAUUCCAGGUGUAGCGGUGAAAUGCGUAGAGAUCUGGAGGAAUACCGGUGGCGAAGGCGGCCCCCUGGACAAAGACUGACGCUCAGGUGCGAAAGCGUGGGGAGCAAACA